rnacentral:siRNA from 1 species
GAUACUUGGUGUGAAUUGCAG